UCAUAUGUACCAGUCAAUUUCACUUGCAUUCAUCUCUCUAGUCUCUUGCUUCCUAUCUUACAAAAAAGAUAACAAUGGCUAUGGUCGAAGCUUUUGUUGGUGCAAUUGUCGAUGGUUUGGUUGAGAAGCUGGCCUCCGGUGAGCUGCUGAAAUUUCUGAAUCGUGUCGGAAUCGACGCCCAGCUGGAAGAAUGGAAGACAACUUUGAAGAGUUUCCAGGCCGUGCAUACUGAUGCUGAAAACAAGCAAACAGCAAACGUAGCUGUGAAACAGUGGCUGAACGAUCUGGAAAAUUUGGCUUAUGAUCUUGAAGAUUUAGUGGAUGAGUUGAAUACUGAAGCUUUGAAGCGCAAAUUAAGGGCAAAUAAAGGCAGAAUCGGUUUGAUAAAAAGGAUGAAAUUAUGGUGCGAUGAUAUCAUGCUUGAUGGCACGUUUGAUUCUAAGCUAAGAGUGUUUAGUGGCCGGUUGAAAGCUCUAUCCAAACAGAAAAAAAUGCUCAGUUUGGAGAAGAAUGUGAAGAAGGGGCGUUAUGAAAGAUUGCCAACAACGUCGCUUGUCGUAGAAUCCGAAGUUUAUGGAAGAGAGGAAGACAGAGAGAAAAUACUCGAAAUCUUAUUGGGUGUUGAAUCAAAUGGUAGUCCAAUAUCUGUGAUUCCAAUUGUGGGCAUGGGAGGUGUCGGCAAAACAACUCUUGUCCAACUUGUGUAUAAUGAUGAAAGAUUGAAGGACAAGUUUGAUCUGAAGGCAUGGGCCUGUGUUUCCCAGGAAUUUGAUGCUAUAAAAUUAACGAAAAACAUUCUGGAAGCAGUUUCUUCUGGUGGAAUGUGUGAUUCUGAAAAUUUUGACAUGCUUCAGGUCAAACUCAAGGAAAGACUUUCAAACAAGAAGUUUCUAUUAGUUUUGGAUGAUAUUUGGCAUGAAAAAUAUGGAGAUUGGGACACUCUACGCCGCCCUUUUCUUGCUGGAAAACCUGGAAGCAAAAUCAUCAUUACAACUCGGCAAGAAAGAGUGGCCAAAAUCAUGUCUGAAAUUCCAGCAUACCAUUUGAGCCUGUUAUCAGAUGGCGAUGCUUUAUCAUUGUUAGGUCAACAUGCAUUUAGAGCUAAAACUUUUGACGGUCAUUCAGAUUUAUUAGAGAUUGGUAAGUCUGUGGUAAGAAUAUGUAAGAACUUGCCCCUGGCAGUGAAGGCUCUUGGGGGGCUUCUUCGCAUGGCAGAUGGUCCUGAAGAAUGGAAGGAGGUGUUGAAAAGUGAGAUCUGGAUGGAUGAAGAAAAGAGUGAAAUUCUUCCUGCUCUAAAACUGAGUUAUCACUAUCUUCCUCCGGAAUUGAAAAGAUGCUUUGCUUACUGUGCUCUCUUUCCUAAGGACUAUGUGUUUGAAAAAUUCCAUCUAGUGCAAUUUUGGAUGGCGGAAGGUCUUGUGCAGGAAUCAAAGAAAAAUAUGUUAAUUGAGGAAGUAGGCAGUCAAUAUUUUGAUGAACUGUUGGCUAGAUCAUUCUUCCAACAAUCAGGUGACAAUCCAUCAUGCUUUGUGAUGCACGACCUCUAUAAUGAUCUAGCUAUGUCUGUUGCUGGUGAUAAAUGUUUAAGGAUGGAUGAUGCGCUGAAGGAAAGUCUUCCAAGUGAGAUUUCUGAAAAGGUUCGUCACUUGUCAUUCAUGAGCAGUAAGUUUGAAACUUACCCUAGAUUUAAUUUUCUCGAUAAAUUUCAAAAAUUGAGAACUUUUUUGCCACUUCCCAAUGAAAUUAAGUAUCCACGUUACAUAUCACAAGGAAUUUUGCUUCAAAUAUUACCAAAGUUGCACUGCUUGAGACUGCUAUCCUUGAAUGGUUACGAGUUAUAUGAGUUGCCAGAUUCUAUUGGUGAUUUAAAACAUUUACGAUACCUAUCCCUUGCUCAAACUUCACUGAAGUGGUUGCCUGAAUCUGUGGGGACGCUUAUCAACUUACAAGCGAUGAUUCUACGAGGUUGUCGAAAACUUACCAAAUUGCCCACAAGCAUGGAAAAUCUUAUUAAUCUUCGGCAUCUGGACAUUUCUGAUACUGAUGAAUUACAUGAGAUGCCUCAAGGAAUUGCUCAGCUAACAAGUUUGCGAACAUUAACUAAGAUGACUGCAAGUAAAACUGACGGAAUGAGGUUAAAGGACUUGGGCAAUCUAUCAUUUCUACAUGGUCAAAUUUCUAUUGAGGAAUUGCAAAAUGUUGUGAAUGUUCAAGAAGCAUUGGAUGCGAGGCUAAUGGAUAAGCCAGGCCUUAACAAAAUAAGGUUGGAAUGGAGCAAAGUCUUCGAUGAUUCCCGGAAUAGAUUUUUUGAAUCGGAUGUUCUUAAUGCAUUGAAGCACCACGAAAGCUUAUCAACACUUGAAAUUCAGUAUUUCGAGGGUGGAAAUUUCCCUAAUUGGAUUGGAGAUUCAGCAUUCUCUAAUUUAGCGAAGAUAAGCUUCGAAUUUUGUAAAAAAUGCACGACUUUGCCACCAUUAGCGCAACUACCUUUGCUAAGAGACUUGAGUAUUCGAGGCAUUGAUCAAGUAAAAGUGAUUGGAGCUGAAUUUUAUGGAAAUAGAGGCCGAGAAUUACCUUUUCCAUCGCUCAUUAGUCUGACUUUUGAGGACAUGUCUAAUUGGGAGGAAUGGCUUGGAGUAGGAGGUGUUAUUGAACUUCCUAAGCUACGCACAUUGAAUAUGAGUCGUUGUUCAAAAUUGGUCAGUCUUCCAAAUCUUUUACUGCCAUCCCUACGUGAAUUAAGGGCUACAGAGUGUAAAGAGGUAGUCCUAAAUCAUAUGCAGAAUUUGGAAUCUUUAAUCAAAAUAGUAUUGAAGGAGAUUUUUGGAUUAACUUCAAUUAUCAAAGCAUUUGUACAGUUUCCUUUUACACUCAAAAGUCUUUCAGUUGAUAAAUGUAACGACCUUGUGACUCUAUGGCCAAGUAAUAACACUGCACGAAACCUAGUCAACCUACGAGAGGUGUAUAUUGAAAAUUGUCCAAAGCUAUUUUCCCUUCAAGAGAUUGAUGUUCUUCGUGAUCUUAGGAGUCUUGAGAUAAGAGAGUGUGGAGCUCUGGAGUUGUUGCCUAAUAAAGUAUCUUGUCUUGAGUGGUUGAAAAUUCAAAAUUGUCCAUCAUUAAAGACGAUGAUGAAGCUACAGGAUUGCAGCACUUCGCUCUAUUAUCUGAGUAUUGAUAGUUGGGUGAAUUCGACAAAUUUACUAGGCUCUGGCUCCAAUUACCCAUAUCUCACUUUCCUAAUCAUAGAUAAUUGUGAUGGUCUAGAGUUGUUUCCCCAUGGAUUCCUGCCCACACCAAAUUUAAGAAAUCUAAGUAUUUUUGAUUGUAAACAUCUCAAGUCUUUACCCGAUCGGAUGGAACUACUUACAUCUCUUUCGUCCAUGGUGGUGGUUAAUUGUGCUUCGUUAAUGGAACUCUUCCCCCAAGAGAGUAUUCCCCCUAAUCUAUCUGAGCUGCAUGCCACAUAUUGCGGGAACCUAAAGCCCCUGAGGGAGUGGGGCCUGCACAAACUCACCUCUCUUAAUUACUUCGGAUUUGGUGGACGUCCGGGGCUGGAAUCCUUCACUAACAAUGCUGACGAAGAGCACUGUGUGCUUCCCCCGUCUCUAAUUAAGAUGUGGUUGACUGACCUGCCGGAUCUGGAAACCUUAUCAAAGGGCUUCCAGAACCUCACCUCUCUUCAACGAUUAGAUAUCUACGGAUGUCCAAAGCUUGGGGCAUUGCCUAUGGAAGACCAGCUUCGAAAGCUUUCGCGCCUUCGCAUUGAAAACUGCCCACUUAUUAAGAAACGGUGUUUGAAGCCCAAAGGAGACUACUGGCCCAUCAUUAAAGACAUUCCCGACGUGAAAAUUGAUCGACUUUCCAUCCACGAUCCAUGUCCCUGAAUUCAGUUACACGAGUAUAAAUCAAUAUCAGAGCCGAUGUACAAAUCAAGUAAUUGAUCGGCUAUGGCGCUAAAAUCAGCCUCUCUUUGUAUUAACAGGAUUUUCUGAUACUGGUAAGAACAAAAGCUGGAAUGAAGGCGUCUCUUCUUCAAGUAAGUUUUUUUCUUCGAUUUACUUUCAUUUGCACUUAAGUGUUUGUAUAAAUGCCUCAGUGAAAUUAUAUGGCAGGAUCUGUAACCGAACCUAUGUUCAGAUGUGAACAUUUUCUUGCCUUAUUUAUUUCAUGAUUUUAGUAAUAUUUUCUGAUUAAAUCUCAGAAUGAACAUUUCCUUUUGGGGUUCCCUUCUGUAACGGACAAAAAAUCUGUUUAGUCUGUGAAAAUUGUCUUGACUGGCCAACAAUCCUUUCUCAUGUGAUUUUGGUGUGGUUUAAGGUACGAGGUACCAUGUUUUAGAAUUGCUAUUUUAUAAAUUUUCUUGAUUUUAUAGAAUAAUCUCCUCCGAUUGUGUAUUAUAUAUCUAUUUGUCUGAAUGUUAGCUCACUAAUAUAGUUUUUGACUGUAGACAGUUAUCAGUAAUUUGGACUCUCACCUCCAACUUUAAAGCAGCCAACUUCGUAAUGUAUUUCUUGAUUGUAAAACAGAAUAUUGAUUUUUCACAAUGUUCCCCCCCGCCCCCUUUUAUUCAAUUUCCUUUUAAUUUGGGCUCUAUUUUGACGUUCUUUGCUAUGUACCUUGGGUUUUGGGAUGAUUUGAAGCUAUAGGAUUACAGCGACUUCAUCCGUAUGAAUGGGACGUUUUAAUCCAAUAUGAAGAUUUGAAUCAUUGCUUCACAAUUUCUUGCAAUUAAAUUAAGAAACUGAUUGAUUUUUUAUGUGAAUGUU